AUUGAACGCUGGCGGCAUGCCUUACACAUGCAAGUCGAACGGCAGCGCGGACUUCGGUCUGGCGGCGAGUGGCGAACGGGUGAGUAAUACAUCGGAACGUACCCUGUUGUGGGGGAUAACUAGUCGAAAGAUUAGCUAAUACCGCAUACGACCUGAGGGUGAAAGUGGGGGACCGCAAGGCCUCACGCAGCAGGAGCGGCCGAUGUCUGAUUAGCUAGUUGGUGGGGUAAAGGCCCACCGAGGCGACGAUCAGUACCUGGUCUGAGAGGACGACCAGCCACACUGGGACUGAGACACGGCCCAGACUCCUACGGGAGGCAGCAGUGGGGAAUUUUGGACAAUGGGGGCAACCCUGAUCCAGCAAUGCCGCGUGUGUGAAGAAGGCCUUCGGGUUGUAAAGCACUUUUGUCCGGAAAGAAAUCGCGCUGGUUAAUACCUGGCGUGGAUGACGGUACCGGAAGAAUAAGCACCGGCUAACUCUGUGCCAGCCGCCGCCGUAA
rnacentral:rRNA from 1 species